GCCAUCGUUGGCCCUAAGAAGCUCGGCCCUGGCGAAACGGAAUCGUACUGGAGCCGUAAAGGGUGUUACGCCCUCAACUGCAUGGUCGUGUGUGAUGCAAAGCUGAAUAUCCUGGUAAUUGACCCACAGUUUCCGGGAUCGUGCCACGAUUCUUUCGUUUGGAGGCAUUCUGCAUUUCGCCGCCGCCUCACUCGUGGCCUGUUACUUCAUGAAGAAGUCUUGCUUGGGGACUCUGGGUACCCGCUAGAGCCAUGGAUCAUGACUCCUGUGCCUGGUCACCCAAAUCGCCUCACGGCAGAGGGCGCUAUAAUGAGGCACACGCAUCAAUGCGAAACGCCGUUGAGCGGUGCAUAGGAGUCGUCAAGAGCCGCUUCCGUUGCCUGCAGAGGUAUCGGGUGCUCCACUACUCGCCUCAGAAAGCAGCCACUAUUGUUGCAGCUUGUGCAGCGCUGCAUAACCUCUGCCUUGCAGCAGGCGUGCCUCUGCCAGACGACCCAGAUGACGACAGUGCACAGGAGCCAGCCCAGGCACAAGUGCCGCUUCAAGUACAGGUGCCACCGCAGGCGCACCCUGUACAGCCUUCUCGAGCUUUGUUUCAAGGAGGCCGUGCGGUGCGUGAAUCCAUAGUUGGUGUGUUUCGGCUGCCCAGAAAUUUGUGCAUUGCCU